AUGUUAAAUUAUUUAUUUGUUAUAUUACGAAUUCUAAGUAUUUUAUGGUUUUAUUUAGAAGAAAAAUGUAUACUUUACAUAAUAAAAAAUAACAAUCUGAAAUAUUUUGCGCGUAUAUGUUAUGUUUGUUAUUUUAUAAUUACCUGGUAAAAUACAACAAGGGAGGUAACUGUAACAUUGUAAACAAACAACAACAACAACUUGGCUGUAACACUUGAGAAGUUUAUUGAUAACACAGUCACUAAUGAACUAUGAGUGAAGACCUGUAUGAGUAUGAUUCUGAAGGAACUGUUGGCAGUGAUGCAGUUAUAGAGAUUUCAGAUUCGGACGAAACUUUGCCGCCAUCUGACAAAGAAACACAGCCACCUCUGAAGGAAUGUGGUCAGGAAGUUGAAUGGUCCCAGUCAUCAUUAGGAUAUUUUGUUAGUCAUGGUGAAGGAUUAUUAUUUUUAUAUUCCAUUCUAUGGUGAUCGGAGACUAAGAAAACAGUGUAGACAAAUGAGCGUGCAAUCCAGGAGGAGGAAGUUCUAAAUAACUCGAAUACAGCACUAUUGCAGCCAACCGGGUUUCCUUCUCUGUGUGAAAUGUUUAAUAUAUGUAAAAUAUGUUAAUGCAAUCUUUAAUUCUG